ensembl:lncRNA
CAUCAAAGUUGGUUUCCUCCGGAUUCCCUCCUUUCACAGAUGCAAAGCUUUAACUAUAACAUGUGAUUCCCUCAGGGUUGGUUUUGGUCUGGUGGAACUGUGUCUGACUAUUGACCGCUGUAAAUGAUCAAAGGGUUUUCUAUCCCUGUCCAGGUGGUGUGUGUCCCUCCGAGCGGGGUCUGGUGUGGCGCUUCUUGUUUGGGAUGUACCCGUGCAGCUCGACAGCUUUAGAGCGCUCUCUGCUGCGGGAGCAGAUGUCGGUGCGUUUCCGGGUCAUGAAGAGAAAGUGGCAGCAGUUCCUUCCUUUGGCCGUGCGCAUGCACCUCAACGGCACCGACGGUGAAAGCUCAAACAUGCACCGCAAUGCAGAGUCGUACGGCUCUCAAGCGCGUCAACCUUUCAUUCAUACUCAUUCUCUUUCCCUGCACUACUGUUUCUUUGUUAAAACAUAUCCGACCCCUUGAUCCCCGUCUUCAUUUCAGAUGAGUUGGUGGCAGCCGUCAGGUACUUUGACCAAAGGCAGGAACUGGCCCAGCAACAGACCCAGGACCAGUCUGAUGAGGUCAGGGACCGACUGGCUUUCUUGGAGCUUCAGGCACAGAUAUUGUUUGAGCGAGUCACGUUUGACCAAGUGGAGCUGCGUGAAGCCACACGGAUCAUCGACAAAGACGUGGCGAGGACUAACCGAGACCUGAGCUAUUAUCAGAGUGAAGGUUCAGCCAACCUGUUGGUUUUGAGAGAUAUCCUCAUCACUUAUGCUGCUUUCCAUCCAGGUAAUCCGGCAAGAAUGAGCAGGUCUAUUAACACUGACAAGAUCAGGCAGCAUUAGAGGCUGUGUGUGGCCCCGUCAAAGACACUAACUGUUGGUUGUUUGUCACUUCUCGCGAUCGUUGAUGCAGAGGUCAGUUAUGCCCAAGGAAUGAAUGAUCUGUGCAGCCGGUUCCUGGAGGUUCUCAACUCUGAGGUUGACGCUUACUGGAGUUUCUCCUGCUACAUGGAGAAGUUCUCCAAGGACUUCAGGGCUGAUGGUCUGCACAGGAAAAUAGAGUUGGAGGCCGCCCUGUUGAAGGAACUGGACCCUCAUCUUUAUGCUCAUUUGGUCACAGACCGCAUGGAGAGCUUCACCUUCUGCCACAGGUGGCUGCUGCUGGGUUUCCAGAGGGAGUUUGAACACAGUGACGCAUUACGUUUGUUCGAGAUCCUGAGUUGUGACCACCUGGAGCUUAUCUCCCAGCAAGUAGACCGAGCACGUUAUCAGGAAAGGCUCGCACGGAAAUGCAGCACAGAGGACAAUUCCGAGUCAGAGCUGCAGGCCAUCAACACUGACUUCACCUUUGAGCUUUUCAUCUGUGCAGCCAUCCUGUUAGAAAACAGAGAGUCUUUGCUGCGUUGCCGUGAUGAAGUCCAACUUAUCCAGUUUACUAGCAGCCUCCAGGGAACACUGGAACUGAACAGCACGCUAAAGAAAGCAGAGCACCAUUUGUACAACUACUGCAAGCGCUGUGCUUGGGACUAUAUGGAUGGGUGUUGUAAAACGGACAAGAGCAAAGAAGAGAACUUUCUCUAUCAACUCCGUAGUUUACUUGUUUUAAAGUAAAAGCUGCUAUUUAAAUAGCUGUUGUCAAAGUCUCGGAUGAAACUGUAAUUUGUAACCAGGGACACAUAAUCCCUAUUUAGAGUUUUGAUGGCACAUUUAUUAUUUUUUAUUUCCGAGGGAAACGCACUGAUGGCUGCUUACCUUAUUGGAUCCGUUACUGCUGUUUAUUAUAAAUGUACAGUAUUUAUUGUAUGCCAGUUGACCUGCACCAACUGUGAGUUAUUUUGGUUGCUCUCCUUAACUGCCCUGAUAAUAAAAAAAACUGUAAGCUCAAUAUCAUAGUAGGAGAAAGGAAUCACACUUCAUGAUUUGUAUUCCGGAUUAUGCAAUAUUCAACGGAUUAUGCAAUAUAAACAACUACUAACAGGCAUGUGUGAGUGCUAAGAUCUGAUGUGUCGCAACAGGUGGUGUUUGUAACAAACCGCAGUUAUAUUUAAUGCCAGAUGGUCUCUGUGUCAGAGAGGCCUAUAGACGUCCAGUUUUUGAGCUCUGGCAGAGGGACCAUGUCGUAAGGGGAAGGGAAAUUACUUUUAAACUGAGAAUGAAACAUGUAAACUAUAUAUGUAACCAAAAAUGUGUACCUCAAUAAAACUGCUGGCGAUUGUUUAUGAUAU